rnacentral:misc_RNA from 1 species
GCAGAACUCUCUGGGUGGCAGU